rnacentral:ncRNA from 1 species
GAUCAGCAAAGCUGGGGAAUGUGUAGACAUUCAUCGGAACUCCCGGCAAAAAGGCUUGCAAAGGUGAUUUCCCUUUC